UGCAAGUCGGACGGCAGCACAGAGAAGCUUGCUUCUUGGGUGGCGAGUGGCGAACGGGUGAGUAAUAUAUCGGAACGUACCGAGUAAUGGGGGAUAACUAAUCGAAAGAUUAGCUAAUACCGCAUAUUCUCUGAGGAGGAAAGCAGGGGACCUUCGGGCCUUGCGUUAUUCGAGCGGCCGAUAUCUGAUUAGCUAGUUGGUGGGGUAAAGGCCUACCAAGGCGACGAUCAGUAGCGGGUCUGAGAGGAUGAUCCGCCACACUGGGACUGAGACACGGCCCAGACUCCUACGGGAGGCAGCAGUGGGGAAUUUUGGACAAUGGGCGCAAGCCUGAUCCAGCCAUGCCGCGUGUCUGAAGAAGGCCUUCGGGUUGUAAAGGACUUUUGUCAGGGAAGAAAAAGCUGUUGCUAAUAUCGACAGCUGAUGACGGUACCUGAAGAAUAAGCACCGGCUAACUACGUGCCAGCAGCCG
rnacentral:rRNA from 1 species